GAAAUGCGAUAAGUAAUGUGAAUUGCAGAAUUCAGUGAAUCAUCGAAUCUUUGAACGCACCUUGCGCUCCUUGGUAUUCCUUGGAGCAUGCCUGUUUGAGUAUCAUGAAAUCUUCAAAGUAAAUCUUUUGUUAACUCAAUUGGUUUCUACUGUGGUAUUGGAGGUCUUUGCAGCUUCACACCUGCUCCUCUUUGUUCAUUAGCUGGAUCUCAGUGUUAUGCUUGGUUCCACUCGGCGUGAUAAGUUAUCUAUCGCUGAGGACACUGUAAAAGGUGGCCAAGGUAAAUGCAGAUGAUCCGCUUCUAAUAGUCCAUUGACUUGGACCAUACUUUUAUGAUCUGAUCUCAAAUCAGGUAGGACUACCCGCUGAACUUAAGC
rnacentral:misc_RNA from 1 species